CUUUGAAUAAAGCAUCAGCAGAAUCCACUGAUAAAAAGCCAGCCAGCAGUUUGCGCCUGCAUAAAUCCCCCCAUUGUGCAGCUUCUGUUUCCUCUCCUGAACUGGACAAGGUAAACAGCAAUGGUCCUCAUAAGCAGUCAGGCAAAGCAAGAACAUCAAGGAAUAAAACGGCGGCCAGUCUCUUUUUUUCUGUAGCCACUCCAAAGUCCAAGUCACCCACGUCACCUU